CCCCCCCGCAAUGGACAAAGAGACACCUUGUUGGAGAUGUUGGAUGCUGUUCUUAUAUCAGUCAGGAGCAAGGCAGAUAGCAGUCCUUUGUUCAUCCUAGCUUGACACCUGGUUUGGUGGCCAAAGCUGUUUUAUGCCUGGGACAUAUAA